GCCUGGGAAGGGAAGUCCGUCCGCAGUCGGAGGGAUCCGUUUGUCCGGGUUUUCCCGACUGCCGCGGGUCCCGUUUAGAAAAGCAAUGGGAGUUCCUGGGAGGAGCGGGAGUGUAACUCCUGGAAGCAGCUCUUGAGGAGCCGCGUGGCAGCGGAUUCCUCGGGAGGGCCGGCGUGGCGAAGGAGUAUACAGUGGAGUUGCCGGUUGAUCAAUGCAUCAUGUUACAAAAAUCAUGCAUGGAUUGUAUUAUGGAGAACUAAAUCUGUCAAUUACUAGGCAUCAUCAUUUGCCUUGCCAUGUCUUGCUGAAUCUGCUUUCUACAUCGUGGUAGGAGUGUUGCUCUCUGUAGUAUCCUCAACCAAACCUGCUCCACCAGCCACCAGAUGAUUAGAACAUCUGUUCAAUAUCUUCCUGAUUUGUUAUUCAUCUCAGAAGACCCCAUCCAGGAUGCCCCGUUACAUUGAGCUGUCAUGUCUCCUUAGGCUCUUCUUGGCUGUGAUGGUUUUUUGACUUUCCUUGUUUUCCAUAACCUUGACAGUUUUGAGGAGUACUGGUCAGGAAGUCUGCAGGAUAUCCCUUUAUUGGAACUUGCCUGAUGUUCUUUUCGUGAUAAGACUGAGGUUAUAGAUAGUUGGGGAAAAUACCCACAAAAGUAAAAUGCCAUUUUCAUCACACAGUAUCAAGUAUACAUACUAUCAGCCUGACUCAUCAGCCUCACGUUGACCCUGAUCACCUGGUUGAGGUCAUGUUAGUCAGGUUUCUCCACUGGAAAAUUACCCGCUACCCCUUUCAUACCGUCCUCUCUGGAAGGAAGUCACUACGGGCAGCCCACGCUUGAGCAGGGAGUUAUGUUCCACCUGUUUGAGGAUGUGAGUGAUGUCAGCUAUGUGGUGGAAAAGUCUUCUACCAUCUUCCCCAGAAGGAACACCAAUUUUGACAGUUGCCCACGGAUGAGAGUGCUUUUGGGGAGGUCCAGGAGUUUAGCAGAGAGGCUCUAGCACAUCACUGAAGAAAAAAAAUCAGGAGUGGACACAUGAAGAUGGUAAGAGGAACAGUUUUAUUUUACCCACAUUGCCCCUCUUCCAAAGUGGAGCAGCUCGGUGUCAAGAGAGACCUUGUCAGCUGGCUGGCAACUUCUCCCAUGGGGGAAAGUGAAAGUAUGUGAGUGAACGCUUGGCUUCCCCAGCUGUGGGGAGAGACCCACUUCUUUCUCAGCCCAUCCAGAAUACUGAGGU